rnacentral:rRNA from 1 species
AUGUACUGGUCGCUUAAAAAGCAUAUAAAUAUUUACAACCGUACCUAGAUACUACCACAAGUAAGCAAGUAGAGUAUACAAAGGCGUUUGAGUUAACAAUCAUUAAGGAACUCGGCAAAAUGACACCGUAACUGAGGGAAAAGGUGUGCCAUUCCUGCUGAUUAAUAUCAGUUUAGGAAGAGGAGACAUAAAAUGGUGUUGCACGACUGUUUAAUUAAAACACAGCACUCUGCGUAAGAUGUAAAUCAAAGUAUAGAGUGCGCUAUCUGCCCAAUGAUGGCUGGUUAACGGAU